rnacentral:lncRNA from 1 species
AUGUAUUUGUUAUGGAUGAAAAAUGGACAAAUAACAUUAUAACCAUAUAUUACAUAAAUUAAGGACUGAGAUUCAUUUUUAAAUUACGUCGUACGCUCGUUCGAAAAUAAAAUUUCGAACAUAAGCCACCAUUAACGCUGCUAUCAGAUCUGAAGAAUAUUAAGCACAAUCCCAAAUAAUAUUAAUAGCGGAACUGUAUCACUCUACAAUCCCAAAUAAUACAAUCCUGUUCUGUCCCCAAGUCUUCCAAGUCUUCUGUCCCCAAGUCCACCAAGUCCACCAUUAAUGCGUUACUAUCCAAGUCUUCUGUUCUGUUACUAUCUGAUUCAACUUAUUAGAUCCAAGGCAAUCGCAGGCAAUCCAAGGCAAUCUAUCCCACGCUAGAUCCAAGGCAAUCGCAACAGGGGAGGGUUUACUCGAAUCGCAGCGGGAGGGAGGGUGUUACAAACCAUGGGAGAGCCACACCUUAAAAGCUAGCUAUUAAGGUUGGAGAGCCCAAAGUUUAUAAAUAUCCCACAUCAAAGUCCCAUACCAUCGAUGUGGGACACAAGUCCCAUACCUUGCAAUUAUGAUCAUAAUAUUCCACCACGCUCCGCAGUCCCGGCGCCCACGCGGGCUGGCUUUGCGCUAGACGAUUCUAGCCCCGGGCGAACACUGCAAUACCGACGUCACCACAUUCGCCGCACGAUUGCAACCAGGAGGUAGUGGACGACUUUGAUACCAAUUGUAAGGAACAGAGAACGAGAAUAAGUAUUUUGAGAAGAAUUAAGAAAGAAUUUGAGGAAGAAGAAGACCGAGACUGGGAAUUGGGAGAGAAAAUCGUAGAGAGAGAGAGGAAAUAUACAUUAUCAUUCAAUAGAUCCAAAUAGAAUUACAACUAAGCUAUAUAUCUACUUAGAAUACCACUAUUACCAUUAUGCCCCCACUAAUUCUAUAUUGACUUCUAUAUCCCUGCCUAUUUGUUACAGAGGGAGGGAGGGAGGGAGGGAGGACUUCGAAUCGCAGCGCAGCAGUAGGCUCGUACGCUAGUUGAAAGAUUACUGGACGAAGAUUACUUGCACUUGGGGGCAGUUAUGUCCAAAAUUUUAUUUUUCUGCGUCCGCUAGAGUGUAAUUUAAAAAUGAAUCUCAGCCCUUAAUUUAUGUAAUGUAUGGUUAUGAUGCUAUUUGCCCAUAUUUCAUCCAUAACAAAUACAUGUUAUGGAUAAAAUGUUUUCUAAUACAGUUUGUAGUUUGUAUAGUCCUAAAAUGUUUUCUAAUCCAAUUAGGAUAUUGGAUUGGGUUUGAUGUCUAGCAAGUUUCCUCACUACUCUAUUUGAAAAUGUCUCCCCCACCCCAGUAUGGCUGGACUGAUUUGAUGUGUG